AGAACGAACGCUGGCGGCAGGCUUAACACAUGCAAGUCGAACGCCCCGCAAGGGGAGUGGCAGACGGGUGAGUAACACGUGGGAACAUGCCCUUUGGUUCGGAACAACGCCGGGAAACUGGCGCUAAUACCGGAUACGCCCUUUUGGGGAAAGGCUCGCUGCCGAAGGAUUGGCCCGCGUUCGAUUAGCUAGAUGGCGGGGUAACGGCCCACCAUGGCGACGAUCGAUAGCUGGUCUGAGAGGAUGGCCAGCCACAUUGGGACUGAGACACGGCCCAAACUCCUACGGGAGGCAGCAGUGGGGAAUAUUGGACAAUGGGCGCAAGCCUGAUCCAGCCAUGCCGCGUGAGUGAUGACGGCCUUAGGGUUGUAAAGCUCUUUCGCACGCGACGAUAAUGACGGUAGCGUGAGAAGAAGCCCCGGCUAACUUCGUGCCAGCAGCCGCGGUAAUACGAAGGGGGCUAGCGUUGUUCGGAAUCACUGGGCGUAAAGGGUGCGCAGGCGGAUCAUUAAGUCAGGGGUGAAAUCCCGAGGCUCAACCUCGGAACGGCCUUUGAUACUGGUGAUCUUGAGUCCG
rnacentral:rRNA from 1 species